CCGAGUAUGGCUCAGUUUGGUAGAGUACGCCGUUUGGGGCGGUGGGGUCGUAGGUUCAAAUCCUACUACUCGGA
rnacentral:tRNA from 1 species